AUUGUUGUUGAAACAAAUCACCUUUUUUCCCUUUACCCUUUAUAAAUCAUUGAUAGUUCUGAAUUGGACGGGCGAGAAGGAGAGAGACAGAGCGCUGCCCCUGAACUGUGCAGAAGGCACACAGGGAGGGGGCGGGUGAGCUACUCACACACAAGUACACAGUGUGAGUCAAGUGUCCAAAGGGGCAAUGGUGGUGGCUGUAGAAAAUGUGUCCAAUGUUUAAAUUUGUCAAGAUUCACAACGCAGGAAAGGAAGCACCAACCUAUUUGUCAAGACUACCAGUCCCCAGGGGCCCUUUGGUCUCUGCUGCCCAACUCCCCCAGACGACCGUCCCCAUCACAAUCUCCAACCUGGAGAUUGUUGUUUCUCCUGACCAUUACCCAGAGGUAAAGAACCAUUGAAAGCCAGGUGGAAAAGACUACAUCAGAUCACCCUCACCACCCCAACGGCAGUAAAAAAGCUUAGGGAAACACCUGGAUCCACGCCUCCCACUGUAAGCAUGUAGCAGAGCCGGAAGAAGAUGUUACUCCUACAACCCAGUAGGGGCACUCUGCUUACCCUGGGACCUCCUAUAACCCAGUAGGGGCACUCUGCUUACCCUGGGACCUCCUAUAACCCAGUAGGGGCACUCUGCUUACCCUGGGACCUCCUAUAACCCAGUAGGGGCACUCUGCUUACCCUGGGACCUCCUACAACCCAGUAGGGGCACUCUGCUUACCCUGGGACCUCCUACAACCCAGUAGGGGCACUCUGCUUACCCUGGGACCUCCUAUAACCCAGUAGGGGCACUCUGCUUACCCUGGGACCUCCUACAACCCAGUAGGGGCACUCUGCUUACCCUGGGACCUCCUACAACCCAGUAGGGGCACUCUGCUUACCCUGGGACUCGCAGCCAUUGUGGCUGUUGGCAUCCUCUUGGUGGUAGCAGAUUUCGAGCCAGAGGCGGGUUAACUUCCUUUAACCUCUCCGCUCCAAAGAGGCCCGGCUUCCACAGGGUUAAACCCAGAAGAAGAUGACCCUGCUGACUUGGACCUGGACUCUGAUGACCCUGCAGACCUGAAGAGAAGAAAAAGAGGACAUGAACAUUUUGGGGUUUCCCCCGGGUCAAACACUUUCUUACAAUUAGCUAGUAAUGUCUCUGUACUACAGAAUGUAUCAGAUUGUUGUGGAUGGUUACCAGACAGUGCUGAGACUAUGCCAUUACUAACUAUACCCCUCGGUGUUUAUUAAAUAUUAAUGUGGACCAAAGCAGUUACCUUACAUACCGAGAGCUUGAUUCGGUGGAGGAUAAGGUGUUUUAUAUGAGAAGGUUUUAAUAAUCCCACCUCUGCCCAAGCAACCCAUCACCCUGUCCUACUCUUCCCCAGGUUAUUUGUGUUAUAUAGCAAAUGGAACCGGUCUUCAGUUGGGGGAAAGUCAUUGUAAGUAUAACCUUUCUGUCUACAUUAACAUAAUCCUGCCCUUACUGUUGAGAAAUGGAUCGGAACACUAACAUGUCAUUGGGAAUGCUAAACCUACUUCCUCAGUAAGUGGAACUACUGUAUGUGUGUUUUUUUGGGGGAGAAAGCCUACUAUUAUCUGCCUACAAACUGGUCAGGAUCCUGCUAUGCUGCCUAUGUUGUUCCUGUUGUGUGUGCUAUCCCAGUAUCCCCAAAUCAUCCUUUUCUCUGCAUUAAUUCCCAAUUAUGGCAUGACAACUGUGCUUGAUUCCUUUAGAGAACUAGCAAAUGUAGAAAGAAUGGGUAAUGCUACUGCUAUUGAAUAAUUAACUGUUGAACUUGUAUAAGGGAGGGGUUUGUGCGUUGGUGGGUCAAGAAUGCUGAGUCAGUUGCCACUAUCAGACGUGGUGGUUUCUAUUGCAAACAAGCAAGAUAAGUUGGGUUGGGAUGUGUUUGCACGGGUGAAAACUAGCCUGUGGAACUUUUGCUGCAAUGUCUCCUGGUACUAGUUGGAGUCCUUUUUGCUAUCUUUUCUCAAGCCGGAUGACCUUGGUGAGGAGAUUGCGCGAAACAGCAGUAUCUCCUCCCCACCAGAUCGUCAUGACCACAGAAGUUAACGUAAAUGACUUGACAGACCUCAUCACCGUUUCACACUUCGUUGGUUAUCCAGAUGGCCCUAUUGGGGACAAUAAAGCCUACUGUCAUUGAAAUGACCCUGAUCCCUAUGAACCUUCCUUUCCACCAGAUUAUUAUUAUUAUUUAGUUACCGUUCAAGAGUUCCAUUCAGACCACCCCUUUCCGUGUAAAAUACCAAUUUCCCAGAAACCAGAAGGAUUUUAAGUAAUGUCUGACAACAGCUCAGGUAUAUAAUGUUGGGUGAUGCUUAUGUUUCCCGUAGCAUCAAAGGGGGAAUUGUUGUGGCAGAAUUGGGGUGAGAUCUGUUCUGUGUUGGACUUUGUUGCUAUGCAUUUCAUAGACUCCUGUUAUGUCUGCACCCUAACACAAGGCCAUUGUGUUCUGGAACUGUUGUUUCUAUAAAAUAACUGUUGUGUAACAAUAAUAUGAUUGUUUUAUCACCUCUCACUAUAUAAGGGCAUGUAACCAUCUACUCUUCCAGCUCCUUCCCUGACUGAGAUCAGAGGGGAAUCUACCCAUCAGCUGCUUGUAUUAAAGAUUCACCAUUAUAGAACUAAA